UGUGCACGGGUGCUUUUCCUAUGACCUGA
rnacentral:piRNA from 1 species